CUGUGCUAAGCGGGGAGUUAGUGGUUCUCUGUAUCUACAAUCCACUAUAUGUAGAGCUGACCAACUGACUGAGGUUUAAGCACAUAUAUACAUUUUAUUAUUUAGGCAUGUUGAAAUCAAGGUCUUAUGCAAUAGACCACUUGUGAACCAUGUGAGGACCUGGCGGUAGCAACAUUAAGCUUGUGUGCUAUGUGAUAUAAGGUUGCUUUGGUGGAGUGAAUGGGUAAUGAGAUUAUAUAUGUGUUUUUAUCGAAGCAGUCGCACAG
rnacentral:SRP_RNA from 1 species